UCUUAUGUGGAUAAUAUACGUCGACAAAAACAACAAGAGGGAUUGUCACUAUUUUCUAACGUUGUUGACGCGCAUCUAUUUAUAACGCGACAGCGGAAGGCGCGUCACAACAGAGCGCGGCGAGCGAGUACAACUUUUAUGAGUAGUUGUUUCUUUAGUAGCAUCUGUGUGUGCCGAGUGAGUGUAGACGUGAUUAGAUGAUCUUCGCCGUAAAAACACGGCGAUCAGAAGCAGUUGUGUCCCUGUCGGUGACCACGCCACCCAUGGAGGGUUGAGGUAGAGAUGGCGACAGUGAACGGAGACGACGGGGGUGGCUCCCCACCCCCUCAUCUACCCUGGGCUUUAUUUUGUGAACAGCAUGCGAAAGCCGCAGCCGUGGAGUUUGUGCGAUCCUUCCUCUUAUAUCAAAGGAGUUCUAGUUUAACGGACUCUCGGGACCCGUGUGACUAUUCCCGAAAAUUUGCGGAAUGUUUUCAACGCCAAUUCGCCCUUGAAAUUCGUAGAUCGUCUUUUGUGUUAGAUCAGAGUGCAGAAGCUAAAUUGAUUGUACCGGAGGAAACCUCCCCCCAAGAAAAUGGCUCGGCUGACUAUACCGACCAGGACAUCCAUCUCGGUGAGGCCAGCCCUUCCAAAAGAACACACAAAAGUCUACUACGCAGAUUAUCUUUUAAAAACAUUCGAAAGGGAAGAUUAUUCAAGCAAUCUUCGGACGAGCUUGAUGUAUCUGACACUAAUCACAGAAAACACAAGCACAAACAUGAUAAAUCGAAACAAGGAAAAUUGACGAGCAAAUCCGAGGGACAAAUCGAAUUGAAAAAAGAGGGGGUUGUGCAUGUCCUCAGUGGGGAGGAUUCUAAAGGAAAAUCCAAAUGGGAGCGGACACGUUUAGUACUUCUCAAAACCACAGGAGGAUAUUUGCUGGAAUUUUAUUCACCGCCUAAGUCCAUGAAGCCAAAGUCCGGGUUGUUCUGUUUACUCAUUACUGAUGCAAGGGAGACAACUGCACUAGAGAUGCCAGAUCAUGAAAAUUCUUUUGUGAUGAAGGGAGAAGGCACGAUAGAGUAUGUGAUCGAGGCAUCAUCGUAUUCAGAGAUGAAGAGCUGGCUGGAGGUGGUUCAGGGGGUGAUACAGCACAACCGAUGUACAGAAGAUGAUUCUCAGGCCAUGAGACCAAGGCUUCCCACUGCUCCAUCAGGCUCAAUAGAGAGAAAAGAGUCCCCUCCUAUCAGUGCCCACCAGCGCAGUUCCUCUCAGGGUUCCAUUGGAGCAAACCCACCGGAGGUGCCUCCUCGUCCUUCCCCCCGACCGUGGAGCACACCCCAUGCCACGCCUGUAUCCAGUAGAGUAUCAAGUGCAGUGGAUGUGGCCGGUUCACCCAGAUACGACAGUGGCUUCGAACAUCGGGAUAUGCUUGGUGAAGGCUCAAUUGACACAAUGUUGCGGGAAUAUCCCUGGUUCCAUGGGACCCUGUCUCGAGCUGAAGCUGCUCAGCUGGUCCUGCAACAAGGUCCGAUCGGACAUGGCGUGUUCCUUGUCCGGAAGAGUGAGACACGGACAGGGGAAUAUGUCCUCACUUUUAACUUCCAGGGUAGAGCUAAGCAUUUACGGAUGACAAUUAACAAUGAAGGGCAAUGUCGUGUACAACACCUGUGGUUUCAGACAAUAUUUGACAUGCUGGAGCAUUUCCGUACACAUCCUAUCCCACUGGAAUCUGGAGGGUCAUCGGAUGUUACCUUAACAGACUAUAUCGUUGCCAUGGAGAGGCCGCGUACUCCUACGACCUUGCCGCGGGGAUCACCAAGAUCACAUGGAAAUGCAGGGGGGAUCAGAAAUUCUUUAUCAGCACAUCAUGGGCAUUUUGACAAUAAUCGUGACAUUGUUGUGAUAAGUGGUUCUGUGAGGUCAAGGACAUCGUCCAUUGAGAAUGUUGUACGGGAACAGGCCCAAGGCUCACAGCAACAGCUCUCUCAUGGCCGGGCAGUGGAGAAUCACUACUCGUUUGUGUGAUUGAGAGUCACUUGUUACGUGUUACACUGUUGGAGUUAACCUAUAGAGUCAUCAAAUCCAGAUGCUGGGUAGACAGGUGCAGCUUGCACAAACUGUGGUACAACUGCCAGUCCUUCGGGGAACAGCCGUGCUCUGGUAGUGAUCAUGGGGUGACAAAUUUUGUAGGUCCUAAUUAGUGAUUUCAGGUAUUCAUUGGACCAUCAUUCUCCGGGUUUAUUAUGGGAGAAGAUUUAGGUUUCUCAAUAUCAUGGCUGAUAACAGUGGCACUCCUGUAUGUUCGGGUCAGUUCGUACUGUAAAUUCACAUACAUGGCGAAGAUACACAGUGGAGAUUCACAGUGUCAUUGAGCUAACAUUCAGGACAUAACCAAACCAAGGUGAAGCUGUACCUUAAAAUUCUUACUCCAUAUUUGAGAAGAUUGUGAUGUAAAACAGUGACCUCAAGUAUUCAAGGGCGUGAGAAUCUGAAGUGAACGGGCUACGUUAUGUAUCCUAUCACUGAGGUAGUGAACACUGUUAGGGAGCAGUUGCAUCAUGGAACUCUAAAAAUAAAGUUUUAGGACUGAGUGUAUAGUUUUUGAUUCGGGGAGAACCCAUGCUAACAUGGAACUAAACGAGCACAGGAAUAGUUCAUUCUGGUUGGAUGAAUGCAUUGUCCGCCUGUUUUCAUGCAUAGCUGCCAGUGUGCAGGAUGAACAGGUUGAUGUUUCAUAUCUGUUUCAGAGGAAAUCUUUUGUCUAAUUUAUUGAGAAGUCUAAAGGUUAUAGUAAUCCCAUUUUUAUCUGAUUGUGUAUGUGAUAUAUUGCAUUGAGAACUCACUGCAAGAAGUUUAUUUAACUAUAUGUACAUCUUUUUAGCUUUCUUGAGUGUUAUGUCAAUUGUGAUAAAAACUGUUAUCAACAUAGGCAUCUUUAAAUCUUUUAUAUAUUUUAAAUUAUCAUCCAACUUCAAAGCUAGUGCUUAUUGCUAUGUACAAAGUUUUACUUAAGUGUUUUUAGUUUUAGCAUGUAGUCUUCCAUUAUUCUUCAGAUCAGUGUCACUCUAUACAAAGUCGGCAUCAUGCAACUCUUUCUGAAAAUUGUAUUGAAGAAGGAUGGUUUUAAAUGAUAUUCUAUAAUACUGUUAUAUGAUGUGCAGAGUUACAUCCCUUGGGAUGCUAGGAUGUGCUGAUCAUUGAUUUGAGUCCCAGAAUUAACAUGAUUGUGAACAUUGUAUGUCAGCACUAUACCUGCAGGGUUCAUGAAAGUGAUAAACGUCCUACACCGACAUCACUCUAGGCUCGCAAGCAGUGAUACUGCUGAAAUACUGGUCAGAGUGAUGUUGUUGAACCAAUCUGAAUACUGUGAUGUUAAACCUCACCCGGAUACUGAUCAGAGAAACUACUUGAUGAUACUUAAAGAAAACCUCAACCUUCUUUUCCCCAGAUGGACAUGGGUGAUCUCAUUAUGUUAUGAAAGGGCUUAGCCAGCUGUUUUACAUGAAUGUGAUUGAUAGUCCUCAUGCCAAUGCUUGUUUGGAGAGUACCCAUGUUGUAUGGUAUGUCAGUACACCUCCUAGGAAGUAGGGGGCGGCGGGGUGGCCUUGUGGUUAAAGCAUUCACUCGUCACACCGAAGACCUGGGUUCGAUACCCACAUGGGUACAAUGUGUGACGCCCAUUUCUGGUGUCCCCAGCAAUGAUAUUGCUGGAAUAUUGCUAAAAGUGGCAUAAAACCCAACUCACUCACUCACUUAUCGAAAGUGGGAAUCUGUAUUGUUGAAAGCAGUGCCCAGUUCACUCCAUGUAGGCGACAUGGAUGACCCAGUCGUCAGUUGGCCCAGUAGAGCUGCUUUACUUGGGUAUGAAACCUCCAGUUGUGGGUUCAAAUCCCCAUUAUAUUUCUGGGUUGGCCCACACCAUACCUGUGGUCAAGGGUUUCACUUCAAUUUUUCCUGUCCCAUUCCGCUGAUGUGAUGAGAGCUGGUAUACUGUUGGUGUGGUACUGAAACAAACUCACUCACUCACUCACAGAAAACGUUUUUUCCACUGUUUGCUGGCCUUUCAGUUGACAGUUUAGGCUGCCCGAUGACGACAGUAGUGGCUUGUAUUUUCAGUAUUAUUCAAUUAUUCAUACUCCUCAGCUCAUAGGGCUUUUAAUUUAUUUGCUAUACUACAUGACAUUUGUUUUCAGCAGAAGGCAAAGAACCGUAUGGGUUUCAGCAAACAAAUAUGAAGACAGGCCAAUAAUUGUAAUGUGUCAAUGCAGAACAGGAGGUUCUUUCUCUGCAGAUCACCACCAUGGGCUGGAGACAAUGGCUGGGGCUGCCAUUCCCCUUCCAGAGUUAUCUCCUUGAUGCAGUGAUAGAUACAGUGAGUGAUGAGUUGGGUUUUACGCCACUUUCAGCAAUAUUCCAG
rnacentral:misc_RNA from 1 species